rnacentral:rRNA from 1 species
GAUGAACGCUGGCGGCGUGCCUAAUACAUGCAAGUCGAGCGAACAGACGAGGAGCUUGCUCCUCUGACGUUAGCGGCGGACGGGUGAGUAACACGUGGAUAACCUACCUAUAAGACUGGGAUAACUUCGGGAAACCGGAGCCAAUACCGGAUAAUAUAUUGAACCGCAUGGGUCAAUAGUGAAAGACGGUUUUGCUGUCACUUAUAGAUGGAUCCGCGCCGCAUUAGCUAGUUGGUAAGGUAACGGCUUACCAAGGCGACGAUGCGUAGCCGACCUGAGAGGGUGAUCGGCCACACUGGAACUGAGACACGGUCCAGACUCCUACGGGAGGCAGCAGUAGGGAAUCUUCCGCAAUGGGCGAAAGCCUGACGGAGCAACGCCGCGUGAGUGAUGAAGGUCUUCGGAUCGUAAAACUCUGUUAUUAGGGAAGAACAAAUGUGUAAGUAACUAUGCACGUCUUGACGGUACCUAAUCAGAAAGCCACGGCUAACUACGUG